UACGAAGGGGGCUAGCGUUGUUCGGAAUUACUGGGCGUAAAGCGCACGUAGGCGGAUAUUUAAGUCAGGGGUGAAAUCCCGGAGCUCAACUCCGGAACUGCCUUUGAUACUGGGUAUCUUGAGUAUGGAAGAGGUAAGUGGAAUUGCGAGUGUAGAGGUGAAAUUCGUAGAUAUUCGCAGGAACACCAGUGGCGAAGGCGGCUUACUGGUCCAUUACUGACGCUGAGGUGCGAAAGCGUGGGGAGCAAACAGGG
rnacentral:rRNA from 1 species